UUGUAGUUUUGCCAAAAGUAAAAAGUAGUUUGACUCUCAGGAGAGGAGCCCAUUGUUCAAAUCUAAAUUUUAUCAAGCCAAAAGUGAAUACCACCACCUGUCUCCACAGAAGAAAAACCCACCACCUUCACCAUAUGACUCACAUCAGAACAGAUUGCCUUAAUAUCCCAUGCAAGUAAAAUAAUGCUCAAGAUUCUACAACAAAAAGGCUCUUACCAUACAUGGAGCAAGAAAUGCCAGAUGUCCAAGCUGUAUUUAAAAAGGGAAGAGGCACCAGAGAUCAUAUCACAAACAUAGGUUGGAUAAUGGAACGGACCAAGGAAUUUCAGAAGAAAAUCACCCUGUGCUUUAUAGAUUACAGCAAAGCCUUUGACUGUGUAGAUCACGAAAAACUAUGGAAUGCUUUAAAAGCAAUGGGGGUGCCACAGCAUCUGAUUGUCCUGAUGCGCAACCUAUAGUCUGCACAAGAGGCUACUGUAAGGACACAAUAUGGAGAAACCGAUUGGUUCCCAAUUGGAAAGGGUGUGUGACAGGGGUGUAUUUUAUCACCCUAAUUGUUUAAUCUAUACGUAGAACAUAUCAUACGGAAAGCGGGAUUGGACCAAGUUGGUGUGAAAAUUGGAAGGAGAAAUAUCAAUAAUUUAAGAUAUGCAGACAACACCAUACUACUAGCAGAAACCAGUAAUGAUUUGAAAUGAAUGCUGAUGAAAGUUAAAGAGGAAAGCACAAAAGCAGGACUACAGCUGAACGUCAAGAAGACUAAAGUAAUGACAACAGAAGAUUUAUGUAACUUUACAGUUGACAAUGAGGACAUUGAACUUGUCAAGGAUUAUCAAUACCCAAAAUGUAGACAAUAGUCAAGAAAUCAGAAGAAGGCUAGACUGGGGAGGGCAACUAGGAGAGAACUGGAAAAGGUCCUCAAAUGCAAAGAUGUAUCAUUGAACACUAAAGUCAGGAUCAUUCAGACCAUGGUAUUCCCGAUCUCUAUGUAUGGAUGUGAAAGUUGGACAGUGAAAAAAGUGGAACUGUAGGCACAAUACCUCCAUGAAAACAUAGGCCUACACAAAUGGAGAAAUUGCCACAACGACGUACGGAAGUCUCCUCUCUACCAUCCCAUCCCUUGGUACCCACUGGCCAUUACCUUGGAAUAGAAGACCAAUAUGCCUACGUAUACAGUCCUUCAUUUCCUCUCCAGGAGCUUGAUCACUAAAUCAGUCCUGCUCUAUUACAAUCCUUCACUGUGCAGCUACAGUUGGACAGAGGGAUAGCCAACUGGGUGGAUCAAGUCUGGCACAAUCUGAUUAAGACACAUUCUGCUUAGGUGACAAUAUCCAUGGAACUCAGGUCUCUCUUACCUCUAAACGUAGGAAGCCAGUGCCUGGGGGCAGAUUUUCAGGAAUAGUCACUGUAUAGGAGGAAUUUGUGAACACAGGACUGUUGUCAUCAAUAUCCAGAACUUUGAUUCCCAGAGUUAAUGUGGUACGACGGGCAUCCACAGCUCCAUCUGUUGCUUCAACAAUGAGUUCAUAAUAGUCCCUUUUUUCUCUGUUGAGCUUCACUAAGGUGUAAAUACUGCCAUUGGAUGUUAUGCGAAAAAGAUGGUUGAAGUUUGCUAAACUAUAACGGACUUGGCCAUUUACUCCAGCAUCGGGGUCAGUAGCCUAAAAGGUAAGAAAAAAUAUAUAAUCAGGAGCUUGUAGCACAAGGAGGCCCUCUUCAGGUCAAUAGAGGAAAGCCAGCUUCUUUGAUAUUAAAUUCAUAACCCUGCAACUCUAAGAAAGUGAGGACAUUCAGGGCUAUUGAUCAAAAUGUCUUUGACAGGAAUCCAGAUUCCAAACAGCAAUGUCACUGAAAGUCCCAGGCAAAUGCAAUUCUGCAAAAAAAGCCAGCUUAGCCACCUGGCUACUAAAGACUCUAAAACCGGGAGAAGCAAUUUAAAUUCAAGUAGGAUCAAAGUGAACAUACAUCAGGUAUUGAGACGAAGGGUAGCAAGUCCACUCCUGCAAGUAGCAGUUAAACAGUUCAUCUUAAAUUAGCAGUGGCUGUCACAAUAAUCCAUAUUCAGACACUUCCUAAAAAAAAAUGGGAAUGGACUGCCUUCAAGUCAAUCCUGACUUAUGGCUACCCUAUUUUCAUGGUAAGCGGUAUUCAGAGGGGGUUUCCCAUUGCCUCCCUCUGAAGCUAGUCCUCUCCAGCUGGCUAGGGACUGCUCAGCUUGCCACAGCUGCACAAGCCAGCCUCUUUCUUGUCUGCAACUGCCAGCUGGGGGGCAACUGGGCUCCUUGGGACUAUGCAGCUUGCCCAUGGCUGCACAGGUGGCAGGGCACGUAACCCCUGAGCCACUCACUGUGGGAGUGAUCUUUAGCUGGCCCUUGACACCCAGGAGACAUGAGUGUGGAUUUGAACUCACAGACUCUGGACUCUCAGCCAGGCUCUCCUCCCCACUGUGCUAUAUCGAAGUCCUUACUUUUUCCUGAAUCUCCUGAAUUGCAAAAAAGAAAACUCUGCUUGCUCCCACUUUCUGUUGGGAGUUAUUGGUUUCUACUGGGGAUUGCCAGAGACUAGCAUGAAUGAAAUCCUUGACUCUGUUAUCUUCAGUCUGCUUCUAUUCCUGCUUGAACCCAUAGGUAUUUCUACUCCUUGACCUAAAGCCAUGCCUUGGAUAUCUAGAGGAGGCCAGGUAGAUCGGGAGGCAGGGCAGAAUUCAGAAUAUCAGCAGACCUGAUACCAUACAACCUCUUCUAUUCACUUUAAAUAAAUGAAGGGGUAGCAACUUUGCCCACUUAAGUAAAAUGAAUGUCCACUAGACUAAGGGACUUUCAUUUGUGCACAUUUAUAAAAGAGCCUGCAGAUCAUAUCCCACAAGAUGUUACAUAACAUAAAGGUUCCUGGUUAUCAGCACUACUGUCAGGAAGUUUCUAAAGACAUUUAAUAUCCUGCCAUGGUGCUCAGUGUGAAGCAUGAUAAUGAAACCAUUUAUCUU